rfam:Nematocida sp. 1 ERTm2 unplaced genomic scaffold supercont1.4, whole genome shotgun sequence.
GCGAGCUUGGCGCAGUCGGUAGCGCGUUAGUCUCAUAAUCUAAAGGCCAUGGGUUCGAAUCCCAUAGUUCGCA